GAUGAACGCUAGCUACAGGCUUAACACAUGCAAGUCGAGGGGCAGCAUGGUCUUAGCUUGCUAAAGCUGAUGGCGACCGGCGCACGGGUGAGUAACACGUAUCCAACCUGCCGUCUACUCUUGGCCAGCCUUCUGAAAGGAAGAUUAAUCCAGGAUGGCAUCAUGAGUUCACAUGUCCGCAUGAUUAAAGGUAUUUUCCGGUAGACGAUGGGGAUGCGUUCCAUUAGAUAGUAGGCGGGGUAACGGCCCACCUAGUCAACGAUGGAUAGGGGUUCUGAGAGGAAGGUCCCCCACAUUGGAACUGAGACACGGUCCAAACUCCUACGGGAGGCAGCAGUGAGGAAUAUUGGUCAAUGGGCGAUGGCCUGAACCAGCCAAGUAGCGUGAAGGAUGACUGCCCUAUGGGUUGUAAACUUCUUUUAUAAAGGAAUAAAGUCGGGUAUGCAUACCCGUUUGCAUGUACUUUAUGAAUAAGGAUCGGCUAACUCCGUGCCAGCAGCCGCGGUAAUACGGAGGAUCCGAGCGUUAUCCGGAUUUAUAGGGUUUAAAGGGAGCGUAGAUGGAUGUUUAAGUCAGUUGUGAAAGUUUGCGGCUCAACCGUAAAAUUGCAGUUGAUACUGGAUGUCUUGAGUGCAGUUGAGGCAGGCGGAAUUCGUGGUGUAGCGGUGAAAUGCUUAGAUAUCACGAAGAACUCCGAUUGCGAAGGCAGCCUGCUAAGCUGCA
rnacentral:rRNA from 1 species